UACGGGGGGGGCAAGCGUUGUUCGGAAUUACUGGGCGUAAAGGGCUCGUAGGCGGCCAACUAAGUCAGACGUGAAAUCCCUCGGCUUAACCGGGGAACUGCGUCUGAUACUGGAUGGCUUGAGAUUGGGAGAGGGAUGCGGAAUUCCAGGUGUAGCGGUGAAAUGCGUAGAUAUCUGGAGGAACACCGGUGGCGAAGGCGGCAUCCUGGACCACGACUGACACUGAAAAGCGAAAGCCAGGGGAGCAAACGGG
rnacentral:rRNA from 1 species